GUCUCCUACGGGAGGCAGCAGUGAGGAAUAUUGGUCAAUGGGCGAGAGCCUGAGCCAGCCAAGUCGCGUGAGGGAGUACUGCCCUAUGGGUUGUAAACCUCUUUUGUCGGGGAGCAGAAGCCGGACGUGUCCGGCUGUGAGAGUACCCGAAGAAAAAGCAUCGGCUAACUCCGUGCCAGCAGCCGCGGUAAUACGGAGGAUGCGAGCGUUAUCCGGAUUUAUUGGGUUUAAAGGGUGCGCAGGCGGAUUUUUAAGUCAGCGGUCAAAUUGUGGGGCUCAACCCAAUCCAGCCGUUGAA
rnacentral:rRNA from 1 species